AGAGUUUGAUCCUGGCUCAGGACGAACGCUGGCGGCGUGCUUAAUACAUGCAAGUCGAACGAGGUCCAUUCAGUGGCAACACUGAUGAAGACCUAGUGGCGAACGGGUGCGUAACACGUGAGCAACCUGCCCCGGAGACCGGGAUAACAGCGGGAAACUGCUGCUAAUACCGGAUGCCCCCAUGAACCCGCAUGAGUUCA
rnacentral:rRNA from 1 species